rnacentral:rRNA from 2 species
UACGAAGGUCCCGAGCGUUGUUCGGAAUCACUGGGCGUAAAGGGAGCGUAGGCGGUUUGGUAAGUCAGAUGUGAAAUCCCGGGGCUCAACCCCGGAACUGCAUCCGAUACUGCCAGACUUGAGUAAUGGAGAGGUAGCUGGAAUUAUCGGUGUAGCAGUGAAAUGCGUAGAUAUCGAUAGGAACACUCGUGGCGAAAGCGAGCUACUGGACAUUUACUGACGCUGAGGCUCGAAGGCUAGGGGAGCGAAAGGG